AUUAUAACAUUAUGAUUUGGUCGCCUUAGUCUAUUUUCUUAUGUAUGUUCCUGCUUUAAUUCAGUUUGACUGGACAUGCUGUUAUAUACAUCUGUCUGUAAUUGUCUGCCCCAAAACAUCUUGAACCUAUCUCCUGCUUCCAUUGUGCAUUCCUGAACACAGUUGUUCCUGUGAGCAGUGUAAUUCACAGAUAGAGUAUGUUGCUACAACUGUUGGUUAAUUGGUCUUAUACCCCAUUUUGGAACAUAAAUAUGAUUGCUCUAGUUACUGUAAAAUAUGCAUCUAAUAAUGCUUUGAAAUCUGCUUUUGUUGACAAAUUUAUUGACUUUUUGAGAAUUGAAACAAAAUACUUUGCUUGUAUGGUAGGCAUCUGGUAAAACCUUUCUAAAAAUGGUUGCUUCAGUGUAAAAUGUGGCAGCUGUAUUGCUCUCCAAAGCAUCUUUUUAUCCAUUUAUCAGUACCUUUUGAGAGAAGCCCUUUAGUCUUGAUUAAAGUGACUUCACUACAAAUGAUGUAUUUGCAGAUAAAUAAGUCCAUGUGAAAAGUGAGGUAAAGUGUUAAUCGGUUAAGAAAAUAAUUAAAUAAAGUCUUAUGGCCCAGUUCCACACCCAGCUCUGUGCAGGUCACAGGUAUUUCCAUCACAGUUUACAGAGUUGUAACUGUGCAAAAAACUAGUCUAAAACGACAAGUGGUUACAGGCUAACUUUAGGCUCCUGAAGUGGAAGAUGCCUGCACAUCAAGCACAGUUCUUUUUGUUUGAGUGCUUUCUUUCUCCCUAGUCAGUCUCCAUAAUAGACACCUAUUGUUAAAUAUUUUGCAUUAUAUAGCAGGAAAGUGCAAGUUUAGCUUAUUAAAAAAAAAAAAAAAAAAAAAAAAAGCAAUGUUUUUGUAAGAUCUUGGUAGCUUUCAGUUGAAAGAUAGUAUCUCAAGUUUAGUCAGAUUCCUGUGCUGUGUGGCUGUGAACUAUGUAACAAGGGAACAACUCUCACCCCAAAGAUCUUGCAAUCUCGGCUGACUUCUCACCUGACCCAACUCUAAUUUCAGGAGGAUAAAUCCCAGGCUCCCAGAGGAUGUGCCAUGCAGGGCCUCUGUACUGUGAAAACACUCGAGACUUUGAUUUAAAACUAGCACCCUGUGCUCAGGGGACUAGGCGGAGAAAGGCAACUGCCUCUUUUCUAUAAACAAUUUAAGGGUGCUGCAGAUCAAGUGCUUCUCAAAUUUUGGCACAAUUGUGUGGGAGAAAACUGGUUUCCUGUCCUAAAGAGAUCCUUUUUGAGGUAGUUGGAGGAUAUGAUGACCUGGAAUAUAGGUAUGCCUAAAUAUCACUUGUAUGUAGCUACAGAGUUUUGCCAUUUGUCUUGUAAUAAUUCUGUUUAGUAGAACAUGGAGGAAACAUUUUUAUCUGCUCCUACAUGUGGUAGGAGCAUCGUAUUGCACCUGGCUAGGACACUGGUUAGAAUGCUGUUCCAAACACAGCUUCAGUUUGGCCUUGUGGCCAGAUGGAGAUUAAUAGAUGGGAUGAAAUGUGUGGGCAAAUCAAGAAAUGAUCACCUUGUGCUGAUAGCCAAAAAAGCCAAAACGGAAUGCAGUCCUGUCCGUCUUGGGUUUAAUGGUGGCAGCUUUAAUGUAUAAAAGAAAUCCCCCUCUCUGUUCUCUCUUUCUCUCUCCAUCUCUCUUAGUCUCCAACUAGUGCGAGAGCUGAUGGAAAAGAAGAGCAGUGCCUUCCUGCAGCCUUAAAGAUGUAGCUGUUACUAUGGCUAAUUCUUUAGCUGUUGGGAAAUGAAUGGUUAUAUCAAAGUACAGGAGUUAUGCUUGGCAGGGCAGCUCUCUGAAUUGCAGAAGUGAGGGCUCGCUGCUAACAACGGAUGCUGCAGCACUGGGGAGUCUGGAUGGAGAAGAGGAUAACUGUGCUCAGGACAGUGAAGCUGUUUAUCAUCUGCCUUUUAUGUAUUCCUGAAAAUUCCCACCUGCUGUGUUUUUUGCAAAACUCUUGCUAGAAUUACACAGUUGGUGUGCCAUGCCUGGUGUUUGCUAUUCCAGCGUAGUAUUUGUCAUCUGUUUGCUGCAUGUACCUGUCAGUGGUUGUAAAUUCUGGGAGGUCUUUGGGGAAGAGCAGGGGAUUUCUUGGGUAAGUUGUCAAUGCCCAGCACUGCAGGACCCUAAUUCCUCCUGGGAACUUGGGAUGGAGCAAAUAGAUCUUACAAACUAAAGACUUUAUUCUAUAGUGCUAGUUUAACCUGUACAGGAGUACAGCCUGAAUUCUUGGGAUGAAAAUUUUCAUGCCUCCUCUGUAGUUUAUGGCAGGAGGCUUUAAAAAGAAGUUAGGAAGGGGUACAUGGGAGCUUAGAGCAAUGGUAACAGAGUUAUUGUCCACUGUCCCUUAUGGAUGCCUUCAGUUAAGGGACAGGGUUAAUUUGUGAGUUUUGGGGGAGAUCUCUGGCACUCAGAUCUCAGUGAAGCUCAGGUGCUCUUGCUCUGAAAGUAGAUCUGGAAGGGAGCGCUCGUGGGUAACUCCAGCUCCUUGGUCCCUCCUCGCUUUGGGUCUGUGUUCUUAGCAGCAGCUUUCUGGGGGGGUGAGGCAGAAAAAUCUCUUCUCAAAUAAAAAAAAAAAAAAAAGUACUGCAGAAGGUUGUACUCCAGAUUAGAGCUGACUGAAUUAUUAGUGGUGAGUCUAUUUCCUUGGAAAUGCCAUUUUGAUUAGUCCAGAAGUUUUUGACGGUAUUGAUGAAUGUUGUACGGGAGAGAGGAAUGUAGGGAAAAGACUUUCUGGAGAAAGUGGUAUGUGUGUGUUUGUUUUUGUUUUUCAUCACUCCCUCUGGUUCAACCUUUUUAUAUUUUGGGUGAAGUAGUUCCUUGCACAUCCUCCUGUGCUGCUUUAAUGUGUGCUCCCCCACAUUAAACUGAUUGUUUUGGCUCUAGUGGAAUGUCUUAUAUGGUAACAAAGGAGGGAGAAAUAGGAAAAUAAGGACAAGAAAUAUUUUGUUGGAAUUAAACCUACUUUUUUUUUUCCAUCCUCUGCUCUCCCCUGUGCACACCUGUUUCUUGAGAAUUUCCAUGUAGUUUGGUGAAGUGAAGUAAUUCAUCCCGCAUAUGUUCAUAAUUCUGUGGAAGUGGGAAUUAACAAGUGUAAGAUUCUUACCACCUUUUCUCCCCUUGAGCACAAAGGAGCCUAUUCACAGGGCAAGGCACAGUGUUAGUCAUUGUGAAUCACACGUUACAUGGCCCUGAUAAAAGAUACAGAGUUUUUAAUCUGUUUUGGUGGUGGGUAUUCUACUAGGAUCAAAGCAGUUGCAGAGGCACUUUUAUAGGAGACUUCUGCAUGCAUCGAAACUAUAACUCUUGCUUCUUUACAUUUUGAAGUGCCAGUUUAAAACAUUUUGGAUGUUUUUAACAUUUAAAAACUGUAUGUACCCUGUUUGGUUUCACUGAGAUUACUCAGUGCUACAAGUUAAGUAGUGUGUGAUCAGGAUUUGAAGUAUUUGAAGACAGUUCUUGAUAAGUGUUUCGGAGUAUGAAAUCAUUUGUUUUUCACCUUCAGAUGAUUCUACUGGCUUCAACUGUCUUGUUGCCAAAGGACUUUUUCCCAGUGGAUAUCUAGUAAGCACUAAAUGCUUUCUACCUGAAAGAUGGGCACUCAAACAUACUCAGAUUUUUACCUACUCCCUUUGAAAUUGCUGUAUGUCUCAGUGAACAGCAUCUACCCAUGAACUGCAAAAGAUGAGUUCCAAACUGAUGAUUCCCAUUGGUCUUAAAAGAUCACCUGCAAUAUUCCCUAUUAAAAAUACUCAUAUUAUUGCUCCGUUGGGUUGAUGAAAUACCGUGUGCUUGUUCUGAACGAUCCAGAUGCUGGUCUGCAUUAAGAAGUGUUACUGACAUCUCUCUAGUUAACCUUUGGAACAUUUCCUGCCCCCCAGGGCUGCAGCAACGAGCAUUGGUUUGGCCACUUGAGUACUCAGUUGUCUUACUGCAGAAGUGCUGCUGGGGAGAGGAAGAGAGCUGGUUUUUCACAGACAUGUUAGCAGUGCUUUUCAGAGGCUCAGCACUUUUACUCAUGUGAUUUUGUCACUGUGAUUAGUGGAGUCCCCACCAAGCAUUUUAUCCAGAUGGGCUAGAAACUUCGAAAGGAGAGAGAAUUUGGAAGAGGAGCUUAUAUUUAGAGGUGCUGUAGAAGAGACAAGCUAAUGUAAGUUAAAUGAUUAUCUGAAGGAUGCUUGUGUCUUUUUAAGGGAUUGAGCAAUCCUGGUCAGUGAGCCGUGGUAACUGGAGCAGCGCAGACACCAUAUUCCUGGGGCCAGCUGCCCUUCCCUUCCUUCCUAGCCGGGCCGUGACUAAUGUAUACCCUUUGGCUGGGAUUCUGGUGUUUGACUUCUUGUUUAUAUUUUGUACCAGCUUCAGAAGAUGCCCAGUCUGAAAAUCAGGGCCUCUCUCUGGAAAGAGAGGGGCUAGGGAAUGUUUCCUGAUCAGCACUGCGGUCCAUGUGACGGUGACAGUAUCCUGACUUGCACUCGGGUUUUAUGUCCUGUUUAUGAAACCCAAGCCUUCAGACUUGCAGACUUGUUUGGAGAAAUCUCUGGAGAAGGGAGAAUUAUCUUGAAGGGCUGGUAGGGAGGGGAGGGAUGGUGUUUUUGAGAUUGGACAAACAAAGUACCAUGAAUUUCCUGUCCUGAAGCCAAUAGCAAGUGUCCCUGCGAUGGUAUCUUUGCCAAACAAGAGAGAAUUCCACUUCUAUCAGGCUUUUAAUAAAUUCAAAACAUGUUCUUUGGAGACUGGUGACACACAGACUGAUGCAGUGUAAGAAAAUAGGAAGUGUGUAGCUGCAAAAAUGAUCAGGAAUGUGAAGGGCAGGUGCAAUGUGAGCCAUUACUGCUAGAUAUUUUCUUUUUAAUGAUUAAUUUAAAAACGGCAUGUCCUUGGGUCAGAGUCGUCUGAAAGAGCUCUGUGUGCUAAAUAAGAAAAUUGUUAGCAGGUCUCGUUAAUGUUAGCCAGGAAGCAUACAGGCAAACAGGAAGCUUUAGCUAUUGUUGUUGUACAAAUGCCCUUUACAAAAUAUUAGCAAGAGAAACUUAAUGUGUUUUCCACAAGAACAGGAGCCCUUCAUAGUGUCUAACUGUAUCUGCAGGGCGAAGAAAACCUGCAUUGUCCCUCUGCAGCAGCUUUGACAUACAUCGAGACGUCGCGUUUCAGAGAUCUCAAUUCACAUCUUCAAAUAUUUACUACUCCAAUUAUUUUUCUUAAAGAUGUAAGGUCCUUAAUUAGCUGCGACGGCAUCUAGCAUUUAGUUUUCUAUUGUGUUCCUUUGCUGCUUAAAAAAAAAAAAAAA